GAUGAAGAACGCAGCGAAAUGCGAUAAUUAAUGUGAAUUGCAGAAUUCCGUGAAUCAUCGAAUCUUUGAACGCACAUUGCGCCUUCUGGUAUUCCGGAAGGCAUGCCUGUUCGAGAGUCAUUAACAACCGUUUCGAUCCCUUUCUUUCAGAAAUUACAAAGAGGAAAAGGGUUUGGUUAUGGUGGAGGAGGGAAAGGGAGCGUUUAGCCUGUAAAAAAAGAGGCUGUGUUCCGCCUCCCCCCCAAAAUUGUACAGGCGGUCGUGUGCGCCCACGCAUCGAGGUGUUGUAAAAGCUGCCACGGCACUUUUCACCUGUGCAGUGCGAGAUUGGCCAGCCGGUUUAAAAACCCCUCCAAACAAUCAAAGGUUGACCUCGGAUCAGGUAGGGAUACCCGCUGAACUUAAGCAUAUCAAUAAGCGGAGGA
rnacentral:misc_RNA from 1 species